UCUUCUUUCUUUCUUCCCCGUUCCUCUCUCUCUCUUCUCUGUCGAUCCAAACGGCGAAUCGAAGUCGAUUCAUCUAGAAACCAGAAAAAUCAAUUGAUUCACCUCGAAUCCUUUGAUUUUUGCAGCUAAAACUGGAGGCUUGCUGGUCUAAGGAGCUUUGGGAUGCAAGCUUCACUCACAGAUUCGGCGUUCAGGAAAACUAUCUCGGCUUCAUCGGCUAAGGAGCUUUGGGAUAUACUCGAGAAAGGUUCAUCAUACAGUGAUGCUGUUCCUCUUUUGGGAGAACUCAUUGAUAUGAAGGCGCUUGAUAUGAAUCUUAAUAAGCUUGUUGAGUUUUUUCGUUCCUAUGAUUCGUUCUCAGAGAUGAAAUUGCUCAUGAGGCUUUGGGUUAUGCUGCAAACUUUUCACACAUGUUGGGAUUAUGGUAGGCCUGAGAUGAAAGAGCUUAUGAGGCUUUAUGUCACCAUCCAUAGAUUUCUUAGGCUCUGUAAAAAAAUGAGAUGCUUCACAUCAACACCUAAAGAAACUGGUGGGAACAGAAGAAAGCCAACAAGCAUCGGUGAGGUUUUGAACUCUUCAUGACUAUUGUUUUUUGGCUAUGGAGGUUCAGCGCUCUCGGAUCUCCAUCAAGCUUUGGUAGAAUAUCUACCUGUUCUCUUGGGAUUAAGUAGCCAUCUACAGUUUAAAGUACCAUUCAAUUGGGUAAAUCAGGAGGAUGAGGUAGAGAUGCUGUUACUAGCAUAGUAGUUUGUCUGCAAGUGUCAUCAUAAUAUAACAGACUCUUACAUGUUUACUUUUAACCAGGAAAUAGAGAUGUCAAACGUUUAGUAUGAAGUUUUAUCCGUUUUGCAUCUAAUGGCAAUACUACAAAUGUCUCAACCCAA